AAUUGUUUUAUAAUGAUGCAAAUACUAUAACACAUCUUUUAAUUGACAGCUUGAAGAUGAUGAUCCAUUCCCCGAGGAAAUUACAAAUUUGGUUGGCCAGACAUUUAUGUUUGGAGUUUACAUUCAGAAAGACAAUGUUUCAGGGGGGUGCUAUAAAGUUGGAAAGGUAUGGAAAGACCUACGUAUGCUAAUGACCUCUGAAAUAUCAGAGAGCUAUUCUGCUCCAGCCCAAGCAAGCGAGGUAAAAUAUUUUCAAGAUUAUGAUUUAUAUUUUUUAAAAGUUCGAAAUUUAAUUAAUUUGGACCUCGCUGAACGUGUUGUGUAGGAGCCACUGUUGAUUGAAAAUCAAAGUGAUGAUAUUGUUUCUACUCCUUCUUCCAAGCGAAAAGAAGUCAAUAAGGAAGCACCCGAACUUCAUUCUACCUCUAAAAAGCAGUGCACUAAAGCGAUCAAAAGCGAGAAGAUAAGAAAGGAUAAAUCUGCAUCGAGUUAAAGAAGAUUAUUUUGCUGGUUUUUUCUGGAUUUUAUAAAAUUUUCCGUGUUCUACAUUUUGAGUUUCAAUAAGGAGUUGGAUUUUUUUUCCUUUGUUAUUGUUCUGGUUUAAUUUUAAUAAAUGUUUUUCUAAUAACUGCAAGUAUUAAUUACUGACAAAAGUACUAUCACAAAACAUAGUCUGCUACAGUAUAUACAAGAAAAUACCAGCAAUAGAAAUUGUCUGAUAUGACAUAAACCAAUUGACCUAAACAAUAUUGAUCAGUUGUGGAAAUACCAGCUUUUUAAGAUGAAUAAUAUUUUCCGCUUAUACACAUGAAUACAGAUUAUAAGAAAAUAAUCAAUUACUUUAAGAAUAUUGACAAUCCCACUCAAAAGUAAAUAGUUAUAAAACACCGGUCCUAAAAAGUUGGAAGUGAUCUAAAUAGAAUCUAUUCUAUUAAAUGGAAAAAUAAUAUCUAAUUUGAGGCGUGUUUUUUAAUAUUUUUCACAAAAAUCAAAGAAUUAGGUUUCAUCCAUUAUUAUGCUUUCCAGGAUUUGACGAGAAAGAGUAAGCUCCUAUGACUGACGAUAACAGUGAUGCAAAUCAGAUAUAUCCGACUGAAUCAUCGGUUCAGAAAAGGAAGAGAAAUACUGCUUUCUUAACAGACUCUGAAGUUAGUAAUACUCCUCAAGUUCGGGGGAAUAAAUCUGGUCUGUUGCCUUUGAAAAGUGUUUUCAGUAGGGUCUUGGCGGAUGUGACCAACACACGUCAGAGAUCACCAACUACGCCUCAAUCUGAAGUUCUUAAUCAUCCGUUGUCUGGAUUAAACUCAAUUACUGAGUCAAGUGGUAAUAUUGCUUGAAUCAUUAUUUUUGAUAAGUACACUUGUGUUCUGUGUAUGUCUAACUUUAGUAAAUCCUCUACUGUUUCCAGUUAAGCCUAGAAGAAAUACAAACAAAGCUUCUAAGAGAAGAGAUUGACCCUUUUUAAACGAGAAUUCAGCCAAAAAAAAGCACGAACAUUGCAUGAAUUGCCAAAAGAAACAUGAACUUUUGAGCUGACCAAAAAAAACACAAAACUUUCAUUGAUUUUAGAAUUAAUUAACAACGUUUUCGUUGACUUGCCAAUUUAGCACACCGUCAGCAAAUUUAACAGAAAAAUUUGACGUCGUUUAUUGUUGGCGUUAAGUGAAACAACAUCGUUUUACAUGAUUUGAAAAUAAAAACAAGUAGACACUUGGAUUCUAACUCGGGUUGGUUCGGACAAAUUGCCAGAUAUUUUACCAUUGGGCUAGUGGCACUUUCAAUGGAGUUACUAACAUGUUCAAUUUUAUUUGGUACUGAUUGAAUAUAAAAAAAUUCUCUAAAAACUUAAAAGAUCUUUAAAAUUCCAAAAAAUUGAAAAAAUAAAAAAUUAUAAAUUAAUUUUGAAAUUAAAA